rnacentral:lncRNA from 1 species
AUUAGACCCAGCCGUGCUCCAGGCCCUCGGAGCCCCGCUCCGGCUGCAGCGGCGGGGAUGGGGAAGGGGACUCCGGGGGCCAGGUGAGUCUGGGGCACCGCCCGGGGCAGGUGCGCGGGGCAGGCCUGGGGCACCGAGUAGCCUCUCCGCAGCCGCCGGGCCUCGGAGAUCGGCGCAACCCAGCGGCGCCGCUGCGCGCUCUGCCCGCCGCCCCGGGCGCAGCCUCCUCCGGGCUGUACUGUCCCGCGGUGCCCAGAGCCCAACUUCCCGCUCGCUUCUGCUCGCUCUUCCUUUCUCCCUCCUGUCUCCUGCGUCUCGGCUUUCUUAGGAGGUGGAGAGUAGUCAGCGAGGAGGCAGCGGUGCCGCUUAGUCCUUGACCGAGUGUUCGUAUCCGCUGCCGCGAGGCCCCUCCGGACUGGAGAGCGGCAUGGGCGGCGGCGGCCGCGGAGCCAUGGAGCGGGAGCGGAGCCGAGGGGAGCUGGGGCGGAGGCGGCUGGGGUCGGGCCCGGGCGCGCUCUCCUGCCCUCCCUGGCGGUUCCCUUUGCCUGGAGACGCGGCGCCCGGAGCCCGCGAUCUGUCGCGAGCCGCAGCAGCUCCGCGGUCCACGUGCGACCGAGCCGCGUUUGUUUAUGGCGGACCCGCCUUCGGGCGGAGCACUCGGCGGCCUCGGCCCGGGGAGGAGGGGCGGGAGGGGGGAGGGACCGCGGCGGGGGCGGGGGCGGCGAAUCUCGCCUCCCGACCCCGCCGCGGCCCCGGAGUUACAGGCGCGCCUCCGCGUCGCGGCCUCCAGGGACUCUCCCAGGAGAGGCCCGCGCGCUCCCGGCCUCACGGAAGUCUCGGCCGGUGCGGUAGGCGGGUUUCCUGAGAGGUGUGUGUCCAGGAACACACUCUUCUCUCCGGGGAGAAGGAGGCGACUCCCACGGCAGAGAGCAGUCCCGCGUCGGAGGAUCCGGGCGCGCCAAAGCCGGACUUCAGAUCUGAGCGGCAGCGGGGCCACGGCGGCGUGCAGAGCGCACCCCAUCUGGCCAGGCAGGGAGGCGGUGGCGGGAGCCCUCUCCAGCCCUCCCUACCCUGGGCCGAAACCCGGCUUUGGGAGCUGCAGGGCACAUUCGCGGACGCCGACGGUGGGACGGGUUCAAGAUUCAGACUUUCCGACGCUAAAGGUCUUCUGA